rnacentral:lncRNA from 1 species
GAGAGAGUGUGUAGAGAGAGAGUGGAAAAGGUGAAAAUGAAGUCCACUCCCCCUUAUAUAGGGGCUUGAGUUGAGGCUCAGUGGGAAUCUACCCGAUACUGCCGUUAAACGGGGCUUUUGGUCGCACCCGAUUUAGUGGUCGUAUUUUGACUAGGUUGAAACUAAAAUUUUUCCAAGGGAUUAAUGAGGGUGUUUUUAAUUUGUUUCAACCCUAACAAAGUCAUUUAAAAAGUCUCUAAAUUAAUUAGCCAGUCCAAAAGUUAACGGACAGUGAAAUAAAACGAGGUUUAUUAACGGAAAAGGGGGUUAAAAAUGACGGAAUAAAUUUCGGGUUGUCACAUCAUCCCCCCGUUAGAGGGAAUUUCGUCCUGAAAUUCAGGUUUAGGCAAGGAAGUAGGUAUGAAUGACCGAGUAGAGGCAGGUGGGUACUUCCUAUUCGGUUUUUCCUCGCACCCCCAAGUGAACUCUAGCCUAUGUUUGUCAUUCCAACAAACCUCCGCCUAUGGGAUGCGGAUUCUGUCUCGUGCAGUUAGUGAUUUCCUACAAGUAUUUCUACGAAGUUAGGGUUCUCAAUGGUUUCUAUCAAGACGAGUGGGUUAUGAAGGGUGACAUCGGGAAAGCACUUAUCAAGUCUAAGGAGUGGAUCGAUCUGUGGUGAAACAUGUGGAGUAUCCGAAUGUAGUAGCGGUCUGACGAGGGUUGGACCGAUCUCCGUGAGGAUUCUCAGAUGGUCCUAAGCUCUCUGAAGGUUAGAGCUUUUCAGUACCUAGAACAUAGUGUACUUCUAUGGCAAGAUCAUCACUUGCGUCAUUGCCAUUCCGAAGUUCCUAACGUUCUCUCUCAUACUGGAAGUGUAGUCCUUUAGGUUGGUUCUUAGGAAGCUCGGGUUGUCCUUGGUUUCGCGUUUCCUGUCAAUUGGCUUUUAGAGACUUUCUAGAUCAUUGGAUGGAUUGCGUGUCUAUGGUUAUCUGUUUGCUGUAGAGUGUCUAUCUCAAGCUCGUGCAAAAUGAACCUGCACUUCUGAUUCAUGAGAUAUUUCUAACGGAAACCCUCUGGGUCGAGGAGAUAGGGUUUCACCAGACGAGUGUUGGACUAUCUCAAGAGGUGGUUCUACUAUUUCUGCGUGAGAUAGUAUUGGUGGAACACCUAGUAGUCCAAUGAAUCUCUAAGAUGUUGGUUUAUUUCAGUGCGGAAAGCAGUUGCUCUUGUAUAACCCAUCGACUAACACCUGGAUUGGUGUCGAGUCUAUAAUCUCUUCUGGAUCUGGAUUAUAAGACUUAACGCAACUACUUUCGCACUUUGAUCAAGUAUUCUUGGCUGCGAAGGUUAUCUUGUGGUUCUCGGUAUUCUAGUGUUCGCUUCGGAGAAUUCAGUCUAUCGCCUACAAGGCGGCGGUGACUUCCUCCAUGCGAUGGGGUGGAGGAUCCUAGGCACUACUCAUCUGUAACGGGGUGGACAAAGUGCCUGAGUAGUGCGAACAUCUUCUACUACUAUUCUGAAGGUUCUGAGUUUUCUCGGUCUAUGUCAAACAAGGAGUUUACAGCCGUAAGCUCCUAUUUACAUACUCCUUUGGUGUUUUAAGGGUUUAAAUGAUAGAGAAUAAAAUCCUAUGCAUUUUUCUAAGUCAAAUGGGGAGUUUAAGGCACCAUUUAGGCAUUUUCUAGGAGUUUACGGCCCAUGGACCUUUCCUAAGGGGGUUUACGGCUGUAAACUCCCAUUUCCUUGGAUUUAUUGAAGUUUAAUGCCUUUACUUCAAUAGGAUUACUUCUAGACAUUUUUCCAAGGCCAUAGGAGGUGUUUGUGGGAAUUUCUAACACAUAAAAUUGAGUUUACUCCCCAUGAAGAGGAGUUUACGGCCCAAGCAUGUUCUUGGGCAGUAAACUCAUGUUUACUCUCCAAAAACUCGUUUCAAGGGGUUCUAAGUCCGAAUUUGUAAGCCUACAAGUCAUAUCUAAGCGUUAGGGGCAAUUUGGAGGGGUUUUGGGGCUUAAAAACCCCAUUAAAUGGUGUUCACGGUCCAAGAGUGUUAGUGGGCUGUAAACACAUAACUUGGCCCCAAUUUGAUGUCUUAAACACGAAUUUGCAUGCUAGGUAAGCUAUACAACAAGUUAGGGUAGAUUGCUUACUCGUUUGGGGCUCGAAACGGACGAUUUUUGGCUCGAAAAUAAGUUGUAAAGAGAGUGUAGAGAGAGAGUGGAAAAGGUGAAAAUGAAGUCCACUCCCCCUUAUAUAGGGGCUUGAGUUGAGGCUCAGUGGGAAUCUACCCGAUACUGCCGUUAAACGGGGCUUUUGGUCGCACCCGAUUUAGUGGUCGUAUUUUGACUAGGUUGAAACUAAAAUUUUUCCAAGGGAUUAAUGAGGGUGUUUUUAAUUUGUUUCAACCCUAACAAAGUCAUUUAAAAAGUCUCCAAAUUAAUUAAUCAGUCAAAAAGUUAACGGACAGUUAAAUAAAACGAGGCUUAUUAACGGAAAAAGGGGGUUAAAAAUGA